CAGGUGCCGGCGCGCAGGCCGGCGAAGAGGGAAGCAGGCGAAAACCCUGCACGGUCCCGCCGCUGUGAGGGGGAGACGGCCCCGAAGGCCACUGGAGCGAUCCGGGAAGGCCGAGGGGACGUUUUUUCACGUCGACGAUCCCGAGUCAGAAGACCUGCCUGUGCC
rnacentral:ncRNA from 1 species